rnacentral:rRNA from 1 species
AUUGAACGCUGGCGGAAUGCUUUACACAUGCAAGUCGAGCGGCAGCGCGGGGCAACCUGGCGGCGAGCGGCGAACGGGUGAGUAAUGCAUCGGAACGUACCUUUUAGUGGGGGAUAACUGGCCGAAAGGACAGCUAAUACCGCAUACGCCCUGAGGGGGAAAGGGGGGGAUCGCAAGACCUCUCGCUAAAAGAGCGGCCGAUAUCGGAUUAGCUAGUAGGUGAGGUAAAGGCUCACCUAGGCGACGAUCCGUAGCUGGUCUGAGAGGACGGCCAGCCACACUGGAACUGAGACACGGUCCAGACUCCUACGGGAGGCAGCAGUGGGGAAUUUUGGACAAUGGGGGCAACCCUGAUCCAGCCAUGCCGCGUGAGUGAAGAAGGCCUUCGGG